UUGAUUUGAUCAAGUUAUCAAGUUGAUCACUUCUUUUUCUUCUGGUUAUUUUAUUAUUAUUUAUCUAGUAUAUAAUCAGUAGAUAUUUAAAUUUAAAAUACUUGACAUAUAUGUCCAUGUUGGACAAUGUAUAAGCCAAAUAUAAGUCUAGGUACUUUACAACAUAUUUAAAUUGAAUUGUAAAAUACCCAAUGAGGUUGAAGUUAUAAAUGAGAUUGUAAUGCAGCCAUUAAGAAUCUUUUGAAGAAUGGUGUUUUCACUUUGAUCAAAAUUUUCUUUAGUCAGGGGAGGAGCAGUUCAGCCGAUAGGGAAUUGUCCACACUGCUACCGAUUUUGCCAGAGUUGCUGCAAAGACAUGCCCAAACAUCAACAUCGAAGAGGUCACUCCUGACGAAUUAAGAGCUUCACAGACAUGGUCAUGUUUGUGUCAUGUGGACGGACCAAACACAAGAUGUACUCUACUACUCAGGCAUCAUACCUACACACUUUUCUCUCUUCAACCACCAGAACUACAAAAAGACGACACAAGAAUCCCCAUU
rnacentral:lncRNA from 1 species